rnacentral:rRNA from 1 species
CUGACGCAGCAACGCCGUGUGAAUGAAGACGGUCUUCGGAUUGUAAAGUUCUGUCAUUGGGGACGAAGUAGGAAGAGAGGGAAUGCUCUUCUAGAGACGGUACCCAAGGAGGAAGCCCCGGCUAACUACGUGCCAGCAGCCGCGGUAAUACGUAGGGGGCAAGCGUUGUCCGGAAUGACUGGGCGUAAAGCGCGCGCAGGCGGUCUUUUAAGUCUGAGGUGAAAGGCUGGGGCUCAACCCUGGCAUCGCCUUGGAAACGGGAAGACUUGAGGACUGGAGAGGCAAGGGGAAUUCCACGUGUAGUGGUGAAAUGCGUAGAGAUGUGGAGGAAUACCAGUGGCGAAGGCGCCUUGCUGGACAGUGCCUGACGCUGAGGCGCGAAGGCGUGGGGAGCAAACAGGAUUAGAUACCCUGGUAGUCCACGCGGUAAACGAUGAGUGCUAGGUGUCGGAGGGUACCACCUCCGGUGCCGAAGGAAACCCAAUAAGCACUCCGCCUGGGGAGUACGGUCGCAAGACUGAAACUCAAAGGAAUUGACGGGGGCCCGCACAAGCAGUGGAGCAUGUGGUUUAAUUCGAAGCAACGCGAAGAACCUUACCAGGACUUGACAUCCCCCUGACGGGAGUAGAGAUAUUCCGUCCCUUCGGGGCAGGGGAGACAGGUGGUGCAUGGUUGUCGUCAGCUCGUGUCGUGAGAUGUUGGGUUAAGUCCCGCAACGAGCGCAACCCUUGAUCAGUGUUACCAGCACGUAGUGGUGGGGACUCACUGAUGACUGCCGGUGACAAACCGGAGGAAGGCGGGGAUGACGUCAAAUCAUCAUGCCCCUUAUGUCCUGGGCCACACACGUGCUACAAUGGGCGGUACAACGGGAAGCAAGAGAGCGAUCUGGAGCGAAACCCUAAAAGCCGUUCGUAGUUCGGAUUGCAGGCUGCAACCCGCCUGCAUGAAGCCGGAAUUGCUAGUAAUCGCGGAUCAGCAUGCCGCGGUGAAUCCGUUCCCGGGCCUUGUACACACCGCCCGUCACACCACGAGAGUGGAUCACACCCGAAGUCGGUGGGGUAACCGCAAGGAGCCAGCCGCCGAAGGUGGGAUUCGCGAUUGGGGUGAAGUCAUAACAAGGUAACCGUA